rnacentral:rRNA from 1 species
AUUGAACGCUGGCGGCAGGCUUAACACAUGCAAGUCGAGCGGAGAGAGGUAGCUUGCUACUGAUCUUAGCGGCGGACGGGUGAGUAAUGCUUAGGAAUCUGCCUAUUAGUGGGGGACAACAUUUCGAAAGGAAUGCUAAUACCGCAUACGUCCUACGGGAGAAAGCAGGGGAUCUUCGGACCUUGCGCUAAUAGAUGAGCCUAAGUCGGAUUAGCUAGUUGAUGGGGCAAAGGCCUACCAAGGCGACGAUCUGUAGCGGGUCUGAGAGGAUGAUCCGCCACACUGGGACUGAGACACGGCCCAGACUCCUACGGGAGGCAGCAGUGGGGAAUAUUGGACAAUGGGCGGAAGCCUGAUCCAGCCAUGCCGCGUGUGUGAAGAAGGCCUUAUGGUUGUAAAGCACUUUAAGCGAGGAGGAGGCUACUUUAGUUAAUACCUAGAGAUAGUGGACGUUACUCGCAGAAUAAGCACCGGCUAACUCUGUGCCAGCCGCCGCGGUAAUAC